rnacentral:antisense_RNA from 1 species
ACUCCUUCCCUGCCUUUCCUACGUAUCACUCGCUCGCUGAAAGUUGGAGCUCCUUACCCAAAGACUGGGCGGAAGGGGUGACCACCCUGGACCCCUGCCCGACUUCCCGUUAAGCCAAGCCGCCGUCCUGAAAGGGGAUCGUGUCCAGGCCGGCUUCCUGGAGACACACCUGCGCCUGCACACACCCACUGCGGUCGCGUCACCAGUGCCGCGGCCACCUGGACGAAGACCAAAGUCUGGAGGGAAUUCCCUCAGCCACAAAGCGAUGGGAAAGCGGUACCCGGUGGAGACCAGAGUCUUGCUAUGCUUUCCAGGCUGGUUUUGAACUCCUAGCCUCAGGCGAUUUUCCUGCCUCAGCUUCCCAAAGUGCUGGGAUUACAGGCACAAGCCACUGCACCCAGCCCUGUUGUUUUUAAGAAAAUUACAAGUUAAAUCUUGUACCAGUGAACAAGGUUUGUAUAGACGAUUUUAUUGUCUUGAAAUUUUAUUUUAUCUCACUUUAAAAAAAUAGAAGCAUAUUAGAAUAUACUUUGUUCUAUACCCAAAUCUUGUGUUAAACUCUUUAAAAAUGUCUUUUCAAUGUUUGGUAAAACCUGCAAUGAGUCAUACAGAUGUAUAUUUCACAUUAAUUAUUAAUCAUUAUAAUUUAGAAAUGUUAAUUAUAAUCAUUUAAAGAAACUUCAACAAACUAAUGGUUAUUGAAGUUAGAUUAAGAAUAUCUAUAAUCAUGAAGAGUAGUGGCCUAAUACAGUAAUGAAAGACAGAUCUUUAAAUUUAAAAAGGAAAAAUGUGAUUGUGUGUUUUCAUACGUUAUUAAGUUGUAGACAAUAUACCAAAAUAUACAUAAGAGGACAUCCACUUAUGGCCACAGAUAGUAGCUAAUGCCAGACACAUCCUCCCACUAGAAACAACUAGAAAUACACAAGAUAACUGAUUCUAGACAUUUGACAACAAACAUUGCAGGGCAGUGAUACUUGAGAGAAAGGAAACACAAAGUGAUCUGCACGUCCUCUUCAGCUUUCUGUCUGGGGACACCAAGUAGACUAAAAGGAAGUGGAAUCCAAGGAAAUAUGGAAGUCUUGCUGAGCUGAAGAAAUCUAGAUAAAAGUUUAGAGUAGUUGUCAUCCCUGAAAUCUGUAAAACAAAAUACCAGAAAGAAAGGAGUGUGCAGAAGAGGACAAAGAAGAUUUCACAAGCGUUCCUGUGUAGCCCAUGUGCAGGAUAGGACUUAAUGAGGCCUAGCAGAGAAUGGUUGCUAUGAACAAGAGAACUGGGCCAAGAUAUCAUAGGCUGUGCAGUACUGCAAACACUGGAAUACUUUCCCUGCCUAAAUGGAGAGACCUUACUAAGCACCUCAUCUGUUCAAUUGAAAUUCUAAAGAGGAUACACCUUAGGAGUAAAUACCAUGCCCCAGACAAAGGGCCAUGUUUCAGGACUAAGGAUAAAACUGACAUAGAAUAAAUAAUAAUAAUACAUAACAAAACAAAGCCUAGCAAGAUCAAGAGGAUUUUUUAGUAGUUUAAUAGCCUGAUAGAAUAAACCUCAACACCAUUUAAAAGAAGAUAACAUAAUCCAGACUCUCUAUAACUCCUUUAUAACAAUAUUCAACAGGAGGUUAAAAAAUAUUGUACCUGUAAAGAAGCAGAAAUAUGUGACACAUAAUCAAAAUAAGACAUGGUCAAUAGAAGCAGAAUCCAAGAUGACCCAAAUGUUGGAAUUAUAAGAUGAGGUCUUUAAAACAGCUAUUAUAAAUAUAUGUAAGGAUGCAUGGGAAAAGAUGAAUAUGUGAUUAAACAGAUGAGAAUGAUCAGCAAAGAAAUAAACCAAAUGGAUAUAUUAGAAAUAAAAAGCAAAUAUCUGAAAUGUAAAAUUUAUUCGAUGGUUAGAGCAGUUGAAGAUAGCAAAAGAAUGGGUGAAUUAUCUCUAAGAGAGAGCAAUAGAAAUUAUAUAAUUUAAUAACAGAAAGGAAAAGAUUGGAAAAAAUAUAUAAACAGCCUCAGUGAACUCUGGAACAACCCUACAAAGUUAGUAUAUAUAUAAUUGGAGUCCUAAGGCUAAGCAUGGUGGCUCAUACCUGUAAUCUCAACACUUUGGGAGGCUGAGGCAGGAAGAUCACUUGAGCCCAGGAGUUCAAGACCAGCCUGAGCAACACAAUGAGACCCCCAUCUCUACCAAAAAAAAAAAAAAGCCGGGCAUGGUGGCACAUGUCUAUAGUACUAGCUACUUGGGAAGCUGAGGUGGGAGGAUCACUUAAGCCUUGAAGUAAAGGCUGCAGUGAACUCUGAUUGUACCACUGUGCUCCGGCCCGUGCUGGACAGAGUGAGACCCUAUCUCUAAAAUAAAUGAUAAUAAUAAUUAGAGUCUCAGUAAAAGAAAGGAAAAAGAAAAUGGGGUAGAGUGAAAUUUAAAAAAAAAAUUCUCUAAUUUGGUGAAAAACAUCAGCCUACAGAUUGAAGAAUCAACAAACUCCAAGCAGAAUAAAUACAAAAAAUAAAAUAAAGAAAGAAAACACACCAGCUACACUGUAGUCAAAAGGUUAAAAACCAAAAAUAUAGAAUAAAUGUUGAAACAGAAAAAAAAGUCAAUGACAUAAGGGGAACAAUGCUAUGAAUCACAGUUGACUUCUUACUAGAAACAGUGGAGGCCAAAAGAAAUGGAAUGAUGUCAUUAAAGUACUGAAAGAAUAGAGCAACCCAGCUUUUUUUUUUUUUUUAAGACCUUGUCUGGCUCAGUCACCUAGACUGGAGUGAAGUGAUGCAAUCACAGCUCACUGCAGCCUCACCCUCCUAAGCUCAAGUGAUCCUCUCACCUCAGCCUCCCGAUUAGCUAGGACUACGAGUGUAUGCCACUAUGUCCAACUAAUUCUUUAUUUUUUUUUGUAGAGAUGGGGUCUCAGCUACGUUGCCCAAACUGUUCUUGAACUCCUGGGUUCAAGCAAUCCUCCUGCCUUAGCCUUCCAAAGUGCUGGGAUUACGAGUGUGAGCUACCACACCUGGCCAGAAUUCUAACAUUUUCUCAAAAAUGAAAACAAAAAAGACAUUUUCUGAUAAACAAAUGCUGGAAGGAUUCAUUGUAAACUAUAUUAAAUACUAAUAGAAGAAUUGGGGGUGGUGGUGGUGAUGGAAAAUGAUAGCAGAGGGAAAUCUAAACUAAAGAAAGUAAUAAAUAGCACCAGAAAUGGUAAGUAGACGUGUAAAUAUAAAGAACUUUUUUCUUCUCAUUUUUUUAAAACAACAGACUAUUUAAAGACAAAUAUAUUGUAGGACUCUCAAUUCAUGUAGAAGUAAAAUACAUAACAGCAAUAACAAAAAAGGACAGAGGGUUUUCUGUGUGUGUGUGUGUGUGUGUGUGUGUGUGUGUGUGUGUGUGUGUGUUUAUUUUAAGCAAUGCUUUUGGAGAAAGAAAAAAAGGACAGAGUUAACAAAAUUGUACUAUUGUAAGAUUCUUACAUUUCACAUGAAGUAGUACAAUAUUAACUCUAAACAGACUGUUAAGGUUGUGCUGACUACUAUGGUAGUCAGUAGCCACAAGUGACUAAAUUUAAACUUAAAUUAAUUAAAAAUAAAUAAAAUUUAAAUUUCAGUCUUCAGUUGUACUAGCCAUAUUUCAAGGUAUCAACAGUCACAUGUAGCCAGUGUCUACCAUAUAGGAAAGAUACAGAACAUUUUCACUACUAAAGAACAUUUAGUUGGAGAAUGCUGCCCUAGAGCAACCAUAAAAAAAAAUAUACAGACAUAUAACUUUAAAAUCAAUCAAUGAAUUAGAAUACUAAGAAUAUUGUAUAAACCAAAAUAAAUCCAUGAAGGAGGAAAUGAGAAACAAACAAAAAAUGAGACAAGCAGAAAACAAAUAGCAAGGUGAUAGACUUAAAUCCUACCAAAUCAAUAAUUAUAUUAAAUAUAAAUGAACUAAACAGUCCAAAGAAAAGAAAAAGAUUGCAAGGAUGAAUAAAAAGCAAGAUUCAAGUAAGAGCUUCGGCAUGAGAUGCAAUGCAUUUUAAAGAUCCAGAUAGAGUGAAAGUAAAAGGAAGGGAAAACAUAGACCAAGCAAAUCUAAGAAACCUGGUAUUGAUAUACUAUUAUUAUACAAAACAAACUUCAAGUCAAAAAGAAUUAUCAAAGUUGAAGAGUGACAUUCCUUAAUGAAAAAUGGUCAUUUCAUCAUGAAGACAUAAAAAAUAUAAAUGUUUAUGUGACUAAGAAGCUUCAAGUAUAAGACGCGACAUAUGAAAAUUAAAGGAACAGGCCCAGCACAGUGGCUCAUGCCUAUAAUCCCAGAACUUUGGGAGGCCAAGGUGAGAGGAAUGCUCAAGCCCAGGAGUUCGAGACCAGCCUGGGCAACACAGUGAGAUCCUGUCUCUACAAAAAAAUGUUAAAAUUAGGUGGGCAUGGUGGUAGACAUCUGUAGUUGUAGCAUCUGUAGCUACUCGAGAGGCUGGGGCAGGAGGAUUGUUUGAACCCAGGAAGUCAAGGCUACAAUGAGCUGUGAUCAUGCCACUGCACUCCAGCCUGGAUGACAGAGUGAGACCCUGUCUCAAAAAAAAAAAGA